AAAGAGUUUGAGAGACAUGUAAUGCACAUAGCCUGUCUUUUUCUUUUAAGAAAAAUACUUCACUAACAUGGUGAAUGAUUAAUUAAUGACCUCUUUUCUUAUCACAAAAUCCUAUAUAAAUUACAAAUCAGAGGAAGAAGACAAACGUAGAUAAUUGCCGGAUCUACGGACAAUCAAAAUCCAAACACUAAGAAUAAAAUUAAACUAAUAUAACAAAAGCAAAAGAAAAAAAAAAAAAAAAAA
rnacentral:misc_RNA from 1 species